rnacentral:rRNA from 1 species
AUUGAACGCUGGCGGCAGGCCUAACGCAUGCAAGUCAAGCGGAUGAAGAGAGCUUGCUCUCUGAUUCAGCGGCGGACGGGUGAGUAAUGCCUAGGAAUCUGCCUGGUAGUGGGGGACAACGUUUCGAAAGGAACGCUAAUACCGCAUACGUCCUACGGGAGAAAGUGGGGGAUCUUCGGACCUCACGCCAUCAGAUGAGCCUAGGUACGAUUAGCUAGUUGGUGAGGUAAAGGCUCACCAAGGCGACGAUCGUUAACUGGUCUGAGAGGAUGAUCAGUCACACUGGAACUGAGAAACGGUCCAGACUCCUACGGGAGGCAGCAGUGGGGAAUAUUGAACAAUGGGCGAAAGCCUGAUCCAGCCAUGCCGCGUGUGUGAAGAAGGUCUUCGGAUUGUAAAGCACUUUAAGUUGGGAGGAAGGGCAGUAGGUUAAUACCUUGCUGUUUUGACGUUACCGACAGAAUAAGCACCGGCUAACUUCGUGCCAGCCGCCGCGGUAAAAC